ACUAAUAGUAGUAUAGUACAGGUAAAUUACCUGUGCUAUACUACUAUUAGAUUGCAUGUGCAUCAUAAUUGAGCUACAUGGCUGCAUGUAUAAGUAGGACUGGAGCUACGUAUUUUUUGUUAGCAGGGAUAAAAAGUUACUAAAUGCUUCAUUAUUGUUAAUUUAUUUUUUGUAACAAAAUAAUACGAGCCACACCCUUAACUUUGUGACCAUAAUGUGUUAUGCCAUAGAUAAUUAUACACAAAACAUCAUUGUGCAUAAUGCUGAUAAUGUAGUAGGCAUCAUAGUGAGAAAAAAUGUAUAUGCAGCUAUGUACAAUGUGACAUUAAUCAAAGCUGUUGUACUCAUACAAUAAUAGAGAGUUUUGACAGUACAUUCUUAUGAUUCCUCCCACUUUUAUAGUUGUUUAUUGUUUUUUCAUAGUGAUAGAGGUAGAGCUAAUAUUUAUUAUACAAGAUGAUUGAUGUUUCUCAAUGGAGAGCAAGCAUUGGACUGUGGAACUGCUGUCAAGCUGCCUCCAGGAGACCAGCUAUUGGCUGCUACCAUUCUCACUCAUUGAAAGCUACAAUGAACAGCAAGCCAAGCAGUACUAUAAAAUUUGGAGGAACAGCAUCUAAACUUCCAGCACCUAACCUCCUCUUUCUUAUUCUCUUUCUCUCUGUUUCUUUAUCAAUACACAUCUUAAUGAUUCCUUUAACAUGUAAGCAAUUAACAAUUGCAAAUUUGUAGACUAGAUCUACUUGCCUAUUUUGGUAUUUUAUUACAGGUAACUUUAACUACCAUCAAGUACAGUGUAAUACUGAUGUGAACUACCUCCAGUCAGUAGCCUUAUCUAAAGGUCUGAGCUGCAAUGAUCUCUAUUUGACUGUUUGCCUCCGUAAGCUGCUCCUCUUAUCGGGAGAUGUUGAACUCAAUCCCGGUCCUCUAACAGGUAAUCCAAAGGAUGUAUUAAGAAGUCAUUCCAGUAAACUCAUUAGUGUCAUUUGUAGUAAUUUAUUAAACAUAACAAAUGAGCUUCAUGCUGCAAGAUUAAUACCCAAACUAUUUAGACAAGAGAUGCUUGUACCAGCAGUUGACAGUUAUACUAAAGCUACUAAACUUGUGAAUGUCAUUGAACAACAGUUAGAAUCUUCUCUUAAUCCAGUCCAGUAUCUCACUGAUAUAUAAUGUCGUGUAUUAUUGAACCAACAAGAUUGUACACUAACAGAUAUUACUACCUCUAUAUUGCAUCAGUUAGGUCAGUCAGUAUCUGAUGUACUACCACCACUUGAUCCUAUUAAUGAUACCCCAAUAAAAGGUCAAUCUAAUGUUAGUUCAAUACCUGAUGAUGUUCAAGUGUAUGCUGAUGAUAUGAGACAAUACUACAAACAUCAACCUAUUGUUGCUACAGACUGGCCUCCAAGAAUUGGAAAGGACUUUUUUGGGAGAUUAGCAUUAGUUGAAAAACAAGACCACAGUACACAAGCAGAAUCAGCUUGGCAUUUGCUAAGAGGACAAGUUGAUAAAAUUGUGAAACUAGCUAAAAACAAAG